rnacentral:lncRNA from 1 species
UGAGUCUUGUGGCCCUCCUUCCUCCCUUAAGAAGAAAAUGUCUCAAGUUAAAGCAAUACAAUACUCAAGAUCCAAGCUACAUCAUCUCCGCAGUACCUAUUACACAGUUCAGUUCACUUAGGGCAUUCUGCAUUUGACCUCAUUCUGUAAUCCAGUUUUCCAUUUAUUCUUUAAGGGUCCUAUUAUAUUUUAAAUUCUGUUUUAUUUGAUUGCCUCUAAAUAAAUAUUAAAAUUUCUAUUUAUUUUUCCUAGUAUAAACUGCAAAUAGGACUAUAGAAUUCUUGUCAUGAUUUCCAGUGUUUCCUUGGAUCGUCUUAUUGCUGAGUUCCCAAACUGCAUGCCUCUAAGUAUAAGCUGUGUAUCAAGAACUCUGCAAACAAACACAUGAAACUCAAG